rnacentral:piRNA from 1 species
UGAACAUUCAUUUCCUGGGCUGACACC